rnacentral:rRNA from 1 species
CCUACGGGAGGCAGCAGUGGGGAAUAUUGCACAAUGGGGGGAACCCUGAUGCAGCGACGCCGCGUGAGUGAAGAAGUAUUUCGGUAUGUAAAGCUCUAUCAGCAGGGAAGAAAAUGGCGGUACCUGACUAAGAAGCCCCGGCAAACUACGUGCCAGCAGCCGCGGUAAUACGGAGGAUGCGAGCGUUAUCCGGAUUUAUUGGGUUUAAAGGGUGCGUAGGCGGAAUGCAAAGUCAGCGGUAAAAUCGCGGGGCUCAACCUCGCUCCGCCGUUGAAACUGGCGUCCUUGAGUGGGCGAGAAGUAUGCGGAAUGCGUGGUGUAGCGGUGAAAUGCAUAGAUAUCACGAAGAACUCCGAUUGCGAAGGCAGCAUACUGGCGUGCAACUGACGCUGAAGCACGAAAGCGUGGGUAUCGAACAGGAUUAGAUACCCGGGUAGUC